UGCUUUAUUGCUCACAGCCAGAGUUCAAGAAUUAUUUGGACAAUGCUUUUAGGCACAUGGUAUGAUUCUUGAGGUUGUCCUGUGCAGGGCCAGGAGGUGGACUUUGAUGGUCCUUGUGGAUGCCUUCCAACUCAGGAUAUUCUUUGAUUUU